AUUGAACGCUGGCGGCAGGCCUAACACAUGCAAGUCGGACGGUAGCACAGAGGAGCUUGCUCCUUGGGUGACGAGUGGCGGACGGGUGAGUAAUGUCUGGGGAUCUGCCCGAUAGAGGGGGAUAACCACUGGAAACGGUGGCUAAUACCGCAUAACGUCGCAAGACCAAAGAGGGGAACCUUCGGGCCUCUCACUAUCGGAUGAACCCAGAUGGGAUUAGCUAGUAGGCGGGGUAAUGGCCCACCUAGGCGACGAUCCCUAGCUGGUCUGAGAGGAUGACCAGCCAAACUGGAACUGAGACACGGUCCAGACUCCUACGGGAGGCAGCAGUGGGGAAUAUUGCACAAUGGGCGCAAGCCUGAUGCAGCCAUGCCGCGUGUAUGAAGAAGGCCUUCGGGUUGUAAAGUACUUUCAGCGGGGAGGAAGGCGGUGAGGUUAAUAACCUCGCCGAUUGACGUUACCCGCAGAAGAAGCACCGGCUAACUCCGUGCCAGCCGCCGCGGUAA
rnacentral:rRNA from 1 species